AUUGAACGCUGGCGGCAUGCCUUACACAUGCAAGUCGAACGGCAGCACGGGAGCAAUCCUGGUGGCGAGUGGCGAACGGGUGAGUAAUAUAUCGGAACGUGCCCAGUCGUGGGGGAUAACGCAGCGAAAGUUGUGCUAAUACCGCAUACGAUCUACGGAUGAAAGCGGGGGAUCGCAAGACCUCGCGCGAUUGGAGCGGCCGAUAUCAGAUUAGCUAGUUGGUGAGGUAAAGGCUCACCAAGGCGACGAUCUGUAGCUGGUCUGAGAGGACGACCAGCCACACUGGAACGGAGACACGGUCCAGACUCCUACGGGAGGCAGCAGUGGGGAAUUUUGGACAAUGGGCGAAAGCCUGAUCCAGCAAUGCCGCGUGCAGGAUGAAGGCCUUCGGGUUGUAAACUGCUUUUGUACGGAACGAAACGGUGAGCUCUAAUACAGUUUGCUAAUGACGGUACCGUAAGAAUAAGCACCGGCUAACUACGUGCCAGCAGCCGCCGUAA
rnacentral:rRNA from 1 species